rnacentral:rRNA from 1 species
GACGAACGCUGGCGGCGCGCUUGACACAUGCAAGUCGAACGUGAAGCCCGGGCUUGCCCGGGUGGAAAGUGGCGAACGGGUGCGUAACACGUGAGCAACCUGCCCCGAAGACCGGGAUAACACCGGGAAACCGGUGCUAAUACCGGAUGCCCUCAUCAUGUCGCAUGGCGAGAUGAGGAAAUGGAUUCCGCUUCGGGAUGGGCUCGCGGCCUAUCAGCUUGGUGGUGGGGUAACGGCCUACCAAGGCGACGACGGGUAGCUGGUCUGAGAGGAUGUCCAGCCACACUGGGACUGAGACACGGCCCAGACUCCUACGGGAGGCAGCAGUGGGGAAUCUUGCGCAAUGGGCGAAAGCCUGACGCAGCGACGCCGCGUGCGGGAUGAAGGCCUUCGGGUUGUAAACCGCUUUCAGCAGGGACGAUAGUGACGGUACCUGCAGAAGAAGCCCCGGCCAACUACGUGCCAGCAGCCGCCGUAAGAC